UGCAACACCCUUUCAUACAUCAGAUAUCUUGAAUCUCCAACCUGUAGUGAAGCAUUCAGUUCCUGUAUGUUCAGGAGCUAAAGAUCUUGUGGAGAUGGGAAAGGUCCAUUUAGUUGAAGGCAUGCUUACUGAAGCAUACACAAUGUUUUCGGAGGCAUUUUCAAUACUUCAACAGGUCACUGGGCCAAUGCACCGGGAGGUUGCCAAUUGCCGUCGGUAGUUAUCAUAACUCAACAAUUUUACUGAUUUUUGUUUUCUAGUAAAUUUUUCUUUCUUCAAUAUUUUUGUUGUCCAAAAAGAAAUAUAU